ACAGUUAAACACAGGAGUUGGUGAUAGUAGAAAAGCCAAACUUAAUGAAGUAACUGAGGCAGAGGAGGCUGGAACAGAGGAAGCUGGAGCAGAGGAAGGUCUUGAGCUGGCGAUCCAAGUGAAUUGAUGAGCUGGCGAUCCAUGACAUCAAUACCUGAAACACAGAAGUUGAUCAAGCAAAUUAAAGGAGCUGCACAGCUAGAAGAACUCUCGUGUGUUUUCUAUAUUGGUUAUUCUGUUGUAACAAGUCUGUAACAGAAAUAGCUGAACUAGUAUAAAAGGAUAAGAGAAUGAGAGAAGAAGUAGCGAGAGUUUACCUUCAUUUUACAAUCUCUGGUUUUCCUGGAUUCAUCUUGAGCUUUCUCUUCUACCUCUGUAUUUCGAGAAUGGUUAAGUCCUGUAAAGCAUGAACUUGAAGUUCUGAAGAAGAAAUACAUGUGAUCUGAGGUAUUUUUUCAUUGAUUGUUCAAGAUCUAAACUUCUUUCAUAUAUAGAUCUUGUUCUAUAUUCGGUUUCUUCUCA
rnacentral:lncRNA from 1 species